AGGAUUUAAAAAACAACAAACAAAAAAUGUGAGUCAGUAUCUUCUCACAACUGCAGCUGAUUUCCUGUGUAAACGAAGACCAUGUGAUGUUCCAUAAACGCUUCCAGCUCCAAAUUACAGGAAAUGAAAACCAUCGUGGAAGAGGGAAGGGUCCAGAACCCAUUUCCAGUGCAAUAGCAUCGCAGCGACAUUUCGGUGGGAGGCACGUACCUGAAGGCUGCCUCUCCCUAGGCCUGUUUCCCAAGAGGGCAUGCGACACACACGACUGUGUGCUUCAAGCCAUGUACUACAAGUCGUGAUGGCCUACCCGUCACGUCUCAGCACCGAAGAAUGCCAGCGAUCUGAUCACAUGGUUGGUACGAACUGUCCUAAGCCUGCCUUUGAGCAUCCUAGGAGCACUUUCCUGAUGCUUAAACCAAGGCUUUCAAUUCCUGAUCCGGAACUGAUCCCGGUUCCGGGGCUUCGGAGUUUAGGCCUGUCUGCCAGGUUUCAGCGGGGAGCCAAGAGGGCAAACAGAGGCCUGCUGGGUGACCCCCAGGCUUCAGAGAUGCAAGGUUCAGAAUUCUGGCUUGCCUAUGUGGGCCUCUGGCUCGCUGGCUCCUGCUUCUCCAUUUAGAGGGGAGAUAAAUUAAGGCCGGUGCCUCCAACCCUGAGAGAACCAUGGCCUAUAUCAAACAUGAAUAAAACACUGAUUUCAGAGU